CAUAAUGCUUGCUUAACAAAUUGGAUUCCUUUCUACAGGGAUUUUUUCUGGAUUCCUCAAGGCUGACCUUUAUGGAGUACCCGUUAUAUCUAACAUGAACAUAUGUGAUGAAAAUCCACAGAAAACUUUAAAAGGUAGAAGCUGACACUACAAUUCUAUCUGAAUGCGUCUAGGCCCUCAAGACUGCCAAGCAAACAUCUCAUGAAAGGUUGGUGAUCACCGUAAUAAAGCCUACU
rnacentral:lncRNA from 1 species